AAAGGCCUUAUCAUGAGGGGAUCUCAUUCUGACCAUAAUGGAUGGGGAUGACUUACCGAUGUCGGUGAACUCAUAUAUAGUCAAAAAAUAUUAUUCCUAGAAAAAAAAAGUGAAUGCAAAGCCCGCUAGAUUGGCAUCCGUCAAAACCAAUCUAGGAAAAAAUGGUUAUCACGAUGGACAAAAAAAAAGAAAUUUCCAUGUAAAAUGUAGGGAUUAAACAAAAAAAUAUACAAGCUCGCUAAAUUGAAAAAUUGAAAGGGAGACUUAGGCAAAAAUG
rnacentral:lncRNA from 1 species